rnacentral:rRNA from 1 species
CUGGCGGCGUGCUUACCAUGCAAGUUGAACCAUGAACCACUUCGGUGGGGAUUUUCCCGAACGGGUGAAUAACACGUGGGCAAUCUGCCCUUCACUCUGGGACAAGCCCUGGACACGGGGUCUAAUACCGGAUACCACUACCGCAGGCAUCUGUGGUGGUUGAAAGCUCCGGCGGUGAAGGAUGAGCCCGCGGCCUAUCAGCUUGUUGGUGAGGUAAUGGCUCACCAAGGCGACGACGGGUAGCCGGCCUGAGAGGGCGACCGGCCACACUGGGACUGAGACACGGCCCAGACUCCUACGGGAGGCAGCAGUGGGGAAUAUUGCACAAUGGGCGAAAGCCUGAUGCAGCGACGCCGCGUGAGGGAUGACGGCCUUCGGGUUGUAAACCUCUUUCAGCAGGGAAGAAGCGAAAGUGACGGUACCUGCAGAAGAAGCGCCGGCUAACUACGUGCCAGCAGCCGCGGUAAUACGUAGGGCGCAAGCGUUGUCCGGAAUUAUUGGGCGUAAAGAGCUCGUAAGCGGCUUGUCACGUCGGGUGUGAAAGCCCGGGGCUUAACCCCGGGUCUGCAUUCGAUACGGGCUAGCUAGAGUGUGGUAGGGAGAUCGGAAUUCCUGGUGUAGCGGUGAAAUGCGCAGAUAUCAGGAGGAACACCGGUGGCGAAAGGCGGAUCUCUGGGCCAUUACUGACGCUGAAGA